rnacentral:rRNA from 1 species
UAGGGAAUCUUCCGCAAUGGACGCAAGUCUGACGGAGCAACGCCGCGUGAGUGAAGAAGGGUUUCGGUUCGUAAAACUCUGUUGUUAGAGAAGAACAGCGCAUAGAGUAACUGUUAUGCGUGUGACGGUAUCUAACCAGAAAGCCACGGCUAACUACGUGCCAGCAGCCGCGGUAAUACGUAGGUGGCAAGCGUUGUCCGGAUUUAUUGGGCGUAAAGCGAGCGCAGGCGGUCAAUUAAGUCUGAUGUGAAAGCCCCCGGCUCAACCGGGGAGGGUCAUUGGAAACUGGUUGACUUGAGUGCAGAAGAGGAGAGUGGAAUUCCAUGUGUAGCGGUGAAAUGCGUAGAUAUAUGGAGGAACACCAGUGGCGAAGGCGACUCUCUGGUCUGUAACUGACGCUGAGGCUCGAAAGCGUGGGUAGCAAACAGG